AGCUUGCUACUUUGCCGGCGAGCGGCGGACGGGUGAGUAAUGUCUGGGAAACUGCCUGAUGGAGGGGGAUAACUACUGGAAACGGUAGCUAAUACCGCAUAACGUCGCAAGACCAAAGAGGGGGACCUUCGGGCCUCUUGCCAUCAGAUGUGCCCAGAUGGGAUUAGCUAGUAGGUGGGGUAACGGCUCACCUAGGCGACGAUCCCUAGCUGGUCUGAGAGGAUGACCAGCCACACUGGAACUGAGACACGGUCCAGACUCCUACGGGAGGCAGCAGUGGGGAAUAUUGCACAAUGGGCGCAAGCCUGAUGCAGCCAUGCCGCGUGUAUGAAGAAGGCCUUCGGGUUGUAAAGUACUUUCAGCGGGGAGGAAGGUGUUGAGGUUAAUAACCUCAGCAAUUGACGUUACCCGCAGAAGAAGCACCGGCUAACUCCGUGCCAGCAGCCGCGGUAAUACGGAGGGUGCAAGCGUUAAUCGGAAUUACUGGGCGUAAAGCGCACGCAGGCGGUCUGUCAAGUCGGAUGUGAAAUCCCCGGGCUCAACCUGGGAACUGCAUUCGAAACUGGCAGGCUAGAGUCUUGUAGAGGGGGGUAGAAUUCCA
rnacentral:rRNA from 1 species